rnacentral:lncRNA from 10 species
UCGGUGUCCACACUGACCUAAAGCAAAAAGGUCGGGGCCAGUACCCACUUCAGAACGAUUUUAAUCCGAAAUGGACGCAGAUCUCUAGACCCUCUCGGAGCGACGGGACUGGGAACGUCUUAGGGCCACGCCGCGAGAGGAAUGAGCAGGGGGAAGAAAUCGUCAUAAGUGAAAGGUUAUUUUCCAUGAAAAUGUGGCCCACAACUCGUGUUGCCAUGCAGAACCUUCUGCUUACUCAAUAUUGAGUGCUGGAAAAUGACAGAAUGGCCUCUGUGGACCUGAAAAUUGGAAUGAUCUUCCUAUUUGUGGGCAGCAAGCCACCCAGCUGCCGAGGCAAGAGAC